AGAGUUUGAUCCUGGCUCAGAACGAACGCUGGCGGCAGGCUUAACACAUGCAAGUCGAGCGCCCCGCAAGGGGAGCGGCAGACGGGUGAGUAACGCGUGGGAAUCUACCCAACCCUGCGGAAUAGCUCCGGGAAACUGGAAUUAAUACCGCAUACGCCCUUAGGGGGAAAGAUUUAUCGGGGAUGGAUGAGCCCGCGUUGGAUUAGCUAGUUGGUGGGGUAAAGGCCUACCAAGGCGACGAUCCAUAGCUGGUCUGAGAGGAUGAUCAGCCACAUUGGGACUGAGACACGGCCCAAACUCCUACGGGAGGCAGCAGUGGGGAAUAUUGGACAAUGGGCGCAAGCCUGAUCCAGCCAUGCCGCGUGAGUGAUGAAGGCCUUAGGGUUGUAAAGCUCUUUCACCGGUGAAGAUAAUGACGGUAACCGGAGAAGAAGCCCCGGCUAACUUCGUGCCAGCAGCCGCGGUAAU
rnacentral:rRNA from 1 species